rnacentral:rRNA from 1 species
GAUGAACGCUGGCGGCGUGCCUAAUACAUGCAAGUCGAGCGAACGGACGAGAAGCUUGCUUCUCUGAUGUUAGCGGCGGACGGGUGAGUAACACGUGGAUAACCUACCUAUAAGACUGGGAUAACUUCGGGAAACCGGAGCUAAUACCGGAUAAUAUUUUGAACCGCAUGGUUCAAAAGUAAAAGACGGUCUUGCCGUCACUUAUAGAUGGAUCCGCGCUGCAUUAGCUAGUUGGUAAGGUAACGGCUUACCAAGGCAACGAUGCAUAGCCGACCUGAGAGGGUGAUCGGCCACACUGGAACUGAGACACGGUCCAGACUCCUACGGGAGGCAGCAGUAGGGAAUCUUCCGCAAUGGGCGAAAGCCUGACGGAGCAACGCCGCGUGAGUGAUGAAGGUCUUCGGAUCGUAAAACUCUGUUAUUAGGGAAGAACAUAUGUGUAAGUAACUGUGCACAUCUUGACGGUACCUAAUCAGAAAGCCACGGCUAACUACGUG